AGGUGCGAUCAUAUCAGCACUAAUGCACCGGAUCCCAUUAGAACUCCGCAGUUAAGCGUUCUUGGGCGAGAGUAGUACUUGGAUGGAUGACCUCCUGGGAAGUCCUUGUGUUGAACCUC
rnacentral:rRNA from 2 species